rnacentral:lncRNA from 1 species
AGAAAGAAAAAAGAAAAAGAUAGACAGGAAGAGCAGAGACAGAGAUGCUACUGCCAACACUAGCAACAUGCCGAGGUUACAGGAUUGCAGCAACUUAUUGUGCAAUCUCACUCUAAACAUUAGGAAAAUAAAAAGAUCACAAGCAACUGCAACUGGACUCGUGCUUGGACAUCACCAUUAGACUAACAUAUGAACCUAGAAAAUGAGACAAAAGGGGAAACAACAAAAAUAUAGGUAAAUCAUACCAGUUCGGAGCAUUUUUGUCGGUUCACUUUGAUCUAAUAAAUCUGUCGAAGGAUUACCAAUAACAAUUGCAGAGCCCAACUUGGUUACCAUAUUUUCUUGUUUACCCAGAAUUACUACUAC